CCCUUAGAUGUUCUGGGCAGCACGCGCGCUACAAUGGUCUUCGCAAACGGAUGCAUUCUCGAAGGAGAAUGCCAAUCUUGGAAUCUAUGCCUUGGUCGGGACAGUUGCUUGCAAUUUUUCGACUCGAACCAGGAAUUCCUUGUAAUCGUGAUUCAUCACAUCACGAUGAAUACGUCCCUGCCCUUUGUACACACCGCCCGUCGCUCCUAACGAUCGAAGAGUUAGGUGAAUUGUUUUGAUCGAUAAGAUUUGACUAUGGUCAACUCUCGUUGUGAAAUUCUGUGAAUCUGACUGUUUAGAGGAAGGAAAAGUCGUAACA
rnacentral:rRNA from 1 species